UGACUCGCCACUCGAAUGUCCUGGCAAGGACUCUGGAUAAAAAACCACCAUUUUAUAAACACCAUUACAAACACCGCAACACCUAACGAUCCAGUGUGAUGAAUCACAAAACAAAUCUUCGACACAAACAAUCUAAUCCCGAGUGACCUCUUGAAGAAAAACGGCAAGCACAAGUGACAGCUUAUAAUAAUGUAGAGUAAAUAAACAGAAGUAAAGGAGGAAUUUGAAAUAACAAAAAAAGAUAAAUAAGUACUACGUCGUUUUUGUUAUUUUUUAAAUGCAAUUCGCUCUUUAUUCAAACGCACACAAUAACUUUUGUUCAGUGGAGUAUUUUUUGUUUUUGUUGCAUUCCAUCGUAGCUUUUUUUUUUGCCUCCAUUUAUGCUUUUUUAUUUAUCUUAAAAAUUUAUCGAUCGCAGGCUUUAUUAAGCUCAUUCUUGUGAUUCAAUCGCACAGUAAUUUAUUUUAUGUUCAUUUAUUGCCGAAUCGAUACGAGUUUAUUAUUAAUAAUAAUAAUAAUUUUCAGUUUUAUUUCUUGUAAAUUAAUU